rnacentral:rRNA from 1 species
UACGUAGGGGGCAAGCGUUGUCCGGAAUCAUUGGGCGUAAAGCGCGUGUAGGCGGCCUUGUAAGUCCGUUCUGAAAGCCCGGGGCUCAACCCCGGGAGGCGGAUGGAUACUGCAAGGCUCGAGUACGGAAGAGGCGAGUGGAAUUCCAGGUGUAGCGGUGAAAUGCGUAGAUAUCUGGAGGAACACCGGUGGCGAAGGCGGCGUUCUGGACUGCAACUGACACUGAUAAACGAAAGCCAGGGUAGCAAACGGG